rnacentral:rRNA from 1 species
GAUGAACGCUGGCGGCGUGCCUAAUACAUGCAAGUAGAACGCUGAAGGAAGGAGCUUGCUCUUUCCGGAUGAGUUGCGAACGGGUGAGUAACGCGUAGGUAACCUGCCUGGUAGCGGGGGAUAACUAUUGGAAACGAUAGCUAAUACCGCAUAACAGUAGAUGUUGCAUGAUAUCUACUUAAAAGGUGCAAUUGCACCACUACCAGAUGGACCUGCGUUGUAUUAGCUAGUUGGUGAGGUAACGGCUCACCAAGGCGACGAUACAUAGCCGACCUGAGAGGGUGAUCGGCCACACCGGGACUGAGACACGGCCCAGACUCCUACGGGAGGCAGCAGUAGGGAAUCUUCGGCAAUGGACGGAAGUCUGACCGAGCAACGCCGCGUGAGUGAAGAAGGUUUUCGGAUCGUAAAGCUCUGUUGUAAGAGAAGAACGAGUGUGAGAGUGGAAAGUUCACACUGUGACGGUAUCUUACCAGAAAGGGACGGCUAACUACGUG